UUACAAUACCAGAAUGCUCCUGACCCUUGU
rnacentral:piRNA from 1 species